rnacentral:rRNA from 1 species
CCUACGGGAGGCAGCAGUGGGGAAUCUUGCGCAAUGGGCGAAAGCCUGACGCAGCCAUGCCGCGUGAAUGAUGAAGGUCUUAGGAUUGUAAAAUUCUUUCACCGAGGACGAUAAUGACGGUACUCGGAGAAGAAGCCCCGGCUAACUUCGUGCCAGCAGCCGCGGUAAUACGAAGGGGGCUAGCGUUGCUCGGAAUUACUGGGCGUAAAGGGAGCGUAGGCGGAUAGUUUAGUCAGAGGUGAAAGCCCAGGGCUCAACCUUGGAAUUGCCUUUGAUACUGGCUAUCUUGAGUACGGAAGAGGUAUGUGGAACUCCGAGUGUAGAGGUGAAAUUCGUAGAUAUUCGGAAGAACACCAGUGGCGAAGGCGACAUACUGGUCCGUUACUGACGCUGAGGCUCGAAAGCGUGGGGAGCAAACAGGAUUAGAUACCCUGGUAGUCCACGCUGUAAACGAUGAGUGCUAGUUGUCGGCAUGCAUGCAUGUCGGUGACGCAGCUACGCAUAAGACACUCCGCCGUCGGGAGGUACGGUCGCGAAGAAGUUAAACUUAACGAAAGUAAAGUUAGUUACGGCGUUGAGACGUGCCGACGGACGACGACGAGGGGAGGUUAGG